GGGGAGUUCAUGAUGCGGUUCGGGAGUCUGGAGGCGAGGGUCGAGCUAGAACAACUUUUCGGGGGGGUAAGUCUGGCAGGCAAACCUGCCCUGCCGUUUACCCACUACUACAGUCAAACUCAUGCAGAGCCCCAGCCGGAGGUUAACCUGGCUACCUCAGAGCUCGAACCUGAGACCCAUGAGGUGGGCUCACCUGCCGAGCUCCAGCUAGAGGUCAACAGGGAGACUCCAGCACCAGAGCUCAACCCUGAGGUCCAAGUCAAGUCUCAAGUCCCUGAGGUCCAAGUCAAGUCUCCAGUCACUGAAGUCCAAGUCAAGUCUCAAGUCUCUGAAAUCCAAGUCAAGUCUCAAGUCCCUGAAGUCCAAGUCCAGUCUCCAGUCUCUGAAGUCCAAGUCAAGUCUCAAGUUCCUGAUGU
ensembl:lncRNA